rnacentral:lncRNA from 1 species
GACAAGCGAUAUGGAGACAAGUUCAAAGAUUUUCAAUUAAACUCCCGACACUUUCUUCGCACAGAGUACUGCUUACCAUCACCAGUCACCAGCUGAAGUUAAAGCAGUUUCACAAUCGCUAGGUUUCAACAACAUACAAUUUGAUAAUUUUUGAAAAUCACCGACCUAAGUAGCUAGAAAUGGUUCAACAUUACAGCCAUUCAGUUAAGAAACAGAACAUAGAAGAAAGCAGCCACUUCUUCCAACCUAUUGUAAUUGGGUCGAUCCUGAGAGAAUUUUGGGAUAAGAUACGUUAAAUACUGAAUUAAAUUAUUUUAAUAUGAUAUAAUCUUUGAGUUUUGAUAUCUUUCCUGAUUUAAAAGAUAUCGUUUGGAGAUAUUUUCUAUGACAUUUGAUUCUUUCCUCAUUUAAGAAAGAGGAUAAUUACUUGUGGACAAGUGAUUUAUUAUUAAACAGAAUUAAUAAAAGAAAAUAAGAAGUUAUUAGAAAAAUAAAACCAUGUAAAAAUAUGGCAUAAAAAACAAAAAUAACCUCCGGUUCUUAGGCCUAGCAAUUUGACACGUAACACGCUAACACGAAACGAAACGAUACGAAAAAAAUAGAUAUAGAUUUUGAUUUUUGAUACACGAAACACAAAAGUACACGAACACGAAAUUACACGAUAGAUUUCGUGUCGAAUAUGGGUUUUCAUUUUGGGUACACGAAAUACACGAAAUAUUUGUACAUAAAUUUUAUAUAUAAUUGUGUUAAAUAAAUAUAUAUAUUUUUUGUAUAUGUAGAUACAUAUUACAGAUACAUUAACAAAUUUGUAGAUAAUUGUAUGCGAGCAUAGAUAUAUCAUUCAUGCUUAGCAAAAUUAUACUAAAAAAUAUAUAUUAAAGCUAUUUUCUGAUUAAUAUUAUAUUAAUAUUUUCAUAUAUAAUGUACACGAAAAAUACACGAUACGUUUCGGAUCGGAUACGGGUUUCAAAUAAGUACACGAAAUUAAUAAUGGACGGAUACGGGUUUCACCUUCGAGUACACGAAACACGAAAAUACACGAAACGAAAGUAUACAAAACGAAACGAUUGCCACCUCAGAAUCUUGGCUGCAGUUUGUUGUAGUGGAGAACUAAAAAUCUUUCGAUCUUCCAUAUGCUUGUAGCCGCUAAUAAAAAAGGAAAAUUAUUAAAAAUAAGUUAUAAAACUAUAUUUUAUACGCGCCUUAAAAUGUGUGUCGAGCAGUGCACAAAAACUAUAAAGAAAUGAGAGAGACAGAUGAAGUACAUGUUACACUCCCUCCGUCCCUCUCAAUUCUUAACAUUGGAGGACGGAGGCGCGACACGCACUUUAAUGCGCCUCAAAAAUAUAGUUUUAUAAUUUUUUAAAAAAAUUUUCUUUUUCUUACUAAAACAAAAAAAGAAUUUUUUUUAAAAAAAAUUAUAGAACUAUAUUUUAUAGACGCAUUAAAGUGCGUGUCAAAUAGUGAAAAAGAAAUGUUAUGAAAAAGAAGGGACAGAGGGAGUAUAUAUAGUCAAGUAUAUUAUUGUAUAAGUUUUAGAACAUAUAUUUAUCUUUAACCUAAAAAUUGACUAAUAAUUAAAUUAUAGCAUAAUUCAAAAGAGUAAUGUGUCACACAAAACAUUUUCUAAUGAUAAAUAUUAUUAAUUGGGUUGAUUAAUAAAAUAUUAAUUAUACAUAUAUAAAUCAAACUGAUAUUGUGAUAAAAUGAUCGAAGUUAAAAUAUUAAAAUUCAUCUUAUCCUAGUGCUCCAUGUCGCGUGUGCGAUUUCAGGUGCUUGGAAUAUUUAUAAUUAUAAGUAUUUUCAGAUUUCGGGUUGGGGUUUCAAAUAUCCAAUCCAAAAAAAUCGGGUUUCGAGUACAUCCGAAUUCGAUCCGAAAUCCAUUAGAUCAGGUUCAGAUAUUCAUUUUCGGUUAAUUUUCAGAUUCGGGUCGGGUUCAUGUAUAGAUAAAAAUUUCAGGUUUGGGUUUGAAUUUUGUCAUACCCGAUCCGAACCGAUUGUUAUCCCUACUAUUUGUGUUCCCUGUUAGUAUUAUUAUAAUAUUAAAUUCAAUUUCUAUUUAGUGGAAAAGAUGGGAAGUGAAUAUUUAAUCGUAAAUGAGGAAUGAGUUAGUCACUACGGUGGACCUUAAAAAAUAAUACUAAUAAUAUGUUGGAGAUUAGGGCAUAUUCCUCUAUACGAUUACUGCAUCAUAUCAUAAUUGCCGGAGAUGCUCCAAGAUAUCCUUCAGGGAAUGAGAACUCUAAAAUUAUAUUUUUAGGACAUCAUAUGACUAAUAUAGUUAUAUGUAGGAGAUGCUCUAAUAUGCUUGGUGACAAGCGAUAUGGAGACAAGUUCAAAGAUUUUCAAUUAAACUCCCGACACUUUCUUCGCACAGAGUACUGCUUACCAUCACCAGUCACCAGCUGAAGUUAAAGCAGUUUCACAAUCGCUAGGUUUCAACAACAUACAAUUUGAUAAUUUUUGAAAAUCACCGACCUAAGUAGCUAGAAAUGGUUCAACAUUACAGCCAUUCAGUUAAGAAACAGAACAUAGAAGAAAGCAGCCACUUCUUCCAACCUAUUGUAAUUGGGUCGAUCCUGAGAGAAUUUUGGGAUAAGAUACGUUAAAUACUGAAUUAAAUUAUUUUAAUAUGAUAUAAUCUUUGAGUUUUGAUAUCUUUCCUGAUUUAAAAGAUAUCGUUUGGAGAUAUUUUCUAUGACAUUUGAUUCUUUCCUCAUUUAAGAAAGAGGAUAAUUACUUGUGGACAAGUGAUUUAUUAUUAAACAGAAUUAAUAAAAGAAAAUAAGAAGUUAUUAGAAAAAUAAAACCAUGUAAAAAUAUGGCAUAAAAAACAAAAAUAACCUCCGGUUCUUAGGCCUAGCAAUUUGACACGUAACACGCUAACACGAAACGAAACGAUACGAAAAAAAUAGAUAUAGAUUUUGAUUUUUGAUACACGAAACACAAAAGUACACGAACACGAAAUUACACGAUAGAUUUCGUGUCGAAUAUGGGUUUUCAUUUUGGGUACACGAAAUACACGAAAUAUUUGUACAUAAAUUUUAUAUAUAAUUGUGUUAAAUAAAUAUAUAUAUUUUUUGUAUAUGUAGAUACAUAUUACAGAUACAUUAACAAAUUUGUAGAUAAUUGUAUGCGAGCAUAGAUAUAUCAUUCAUGCUUAGCAAAAUUAUACUAAAAAAUAUAUAUUAAAGCUAUUUUCUGAUUAAUAUUAUAUUAAUAUUUUCAUAUAUAAUGUACACGAAAAAUACACGAUACGUUUCGGAUCGGAUACGGGUUUCAAAUAAGUACACGAAAUUAAUAAUGGACGGAUACGGGUUUCACCUUCGAGUACACGAAACACGAAAAUACACGAAACGAAAGUAUACAAAACGAAACGAUUGCCACCUCAGAAUCUUGGCUGCAGUUUGUUGUAGUGGAGAACUAAAAAUCUUUCGAUCUUCCAUAUGCUUGUAGCCGCUAAUAAAAAAGGAAAAUUAUUAAAAAUAAGUUAUAAAACUAUAUUUUAUACGCGCCUUAAAAUGUGUGUCGAGCAGUGCACAAAAACUAUAAAGAAAUGAGAGAGACAGAUGAAGUACAUGUUACACUCCCUCCGUCCCUCUCAAUUCUUAACAUUGGAGGACGGAGGCGCGACACGCACUUUAAUGCGCCUCAAAAAUAUAGUUUUAUAAUUUUUUAAAAAAAUUUUCUUUUUCUUACUAAAACAAAAAAAGAAUUUUUUUUAAAAAAAAUUAUAGAACUAUAUUUUAUAGACGCAUUAAAGUGCGUGUCAAAUAGUGAAAAAGAAAUGUUAUGAAAAAGAAGGGACAGAGGGAGUAUAUAUAGUCAAGUAUAUUAUUGUAUAAGUUUUAGAACAUAUAUUUAUCUUUAACCUAAAAAUUGACUAAUAAUUAAAUUAUAGCAUAAUUCAAAAGAGUAAUGUGUCACACAAAACAUUUUCUAAUGAUAAAUAUUAUUAAUUGGGUUGAUUAAUAAAAUAUUAAUUAUACAUAUAUAAAUCAAACUGAUAUUGUGAUAAAAUGAUCGAAGUUAAAAUAUUAAAAUUCAUCUUAUCCUAGUGCUCCAUGUCGCGUGUGCGAUUUCAGGUGCUUGGAAUAUUUAUAAUUAUAAGUAUUUUCAGAUUUCGGGUUGGGGUUUCAAAUAUCCAAUCCAAAAAAAUCGGGUUUCGAGUACAUCCGAAUUCGAUCCGAAAUCCAUUAGAUCAGGUUCAGAUAUUCAUUUUCGGUUAAUUUUCAGAUUCGGGUCGGGUUCAUGUAUAGAUAAAAAUUUCAGGUUUGGGUUUGAAUUUUGUCAUACCCGAUCCGAACCGAUUGUUAUCCCUACUAUUUGUGUUCCCUGUUAGUAUUAUUAUAAUAUUAAAUUCAAUUUCUAUUUAGUGUAAAAGAUGGGAAGUGAAUAUUUAAUCGUAAAUGAGGAAUGAGUUAGUCAUUACGGUGGACCUUAAAAAAUAAUACUAAUAAUAUGUUGGAGAUUAGGGCAUAUUCCUCUAUACGAUUACUGCAUCAUAUCAUAAUUGCCGGAGAUGCUCCAAGAUAUCCUUCAGGGAAUGAGAACUCUAAAAUUAUAUUUUUAGGACAUCAUAUGACUAAUAUAGUUAUAUGUAGGAGAUGCUCUAAUAUGCUUGGUGACAAGCGAUAUGGAGACAAGUUCAAAGAUUUUCAAUUAAACUCCCGACACUUUCUUCGCACAGAGUACUGCUUACCAUCACCAGUCACCAGCUGAAGUUAAAGCAGUUUCACAAUCGCUAGGUUUCAACAACAUACAAUUUGAUAAUUUUUGAAAAUCACCGACCUAAGUAGCUAGAAAUGGUUCAACAUUACAGCCAUUCAGUUAAGAAACAGAACAUAGAAGAAAGCAGCCACUUCUUCCAACCACUUAGGCCACAGCUUCCAGU